rnacentral:rRNA from 1 species
UAAUACGGAGGAUCCAAGCGUUAUCCGGAAUCAUUGGGUUUAAAGGGUCCGUAGGUGGAUAAUUAAGUCAGAGGUGAAAUCCUGCAGCUCAACUGUAGAAUUGCCUUUGAAACUGGUUAUCUUGAGUCAUUAUGAAGUGGUUAGAAUGUGUAGUGUAGCGGUGAAAUGCAUAGAUAUUACACGGAAUACCGAUUGCGAAGGCAGAUCACUAAUAAUGUACUGACACUGAUGGACGAAAGCGUGGGUAGCGAACAGGAUUAGAUACCCUGGUAGUCCACGCCGUAAACGAUGGAUACUAGCUGUUCGGAUUUAGGUCUGAGUGGCUAAGCGAAAGUGAUAAGUAUCCCACCUGGGGAGUACGAUCGCAAGAUUG